rnacentral:rRNA from 1 species
AUGAGCGACAAUCUCAUGGACAAAGUUAACGCCUUGGGCGAGCGCCUCAAGAUCAGUGGCGCGGAAGUUAGCCGCAAGAUGUCCACCGGCGUCACUAGCAUGAGUUUCAAGAUGAAGGAGUUUUUCCAAGGCCAGAACAUGGCCGACAAGAUUGUUGACGAAGCCACCUUGGAGACCAUGGACGGCCCUGAUUGGGCUACCAAUCUUGAGAUAUGCGAUAUGGCCAACACCGAGAGGGUCAACAGCGUCGAGCUCAUCCGCGCCAUAAAGAGGCGAAUCAUGCUGAAGAGCCCGAGGGUGCAGUAUCUGGCUCUUGUCCUCCUCGAGACCAUUGUCAAAAACUGCGAGAAGGCCUUCUCCGAGAUUGCUGCGGAGCGGGUCCUUGAUGAAAUGGUGAAGCUUAUUGAUGACCCACAGACUAUAGUCAACAACAGAAACAAGGCGCUCAUGCUUAUUGAAGCAUGGGGAGAGUCAGGAGAGGAACUCCGCUACCUUCCCGUGUAUGAAGAAACUUACAAGAGCUUAAGAUCUAGGGGAAUUCGCUUCCCUGGCCGCGAUGAUGAGAGCCUUGCGCCAAUAUUUACUCCUCCCCGUUCAGUACCUGCAGCUGAACCAUAUUCUGAUGCAGCACAGGACGGGUACCAAGAAAUUCCAGAUGAAAGUUUUGCUCCAGUUCGUGCUGCCCCUUCUGUACAAGUCGACGAUGCUUUUGAGGUGGCUCGUAAUAGCGUUGAACUUCUUUCCACAGUGCUAUCAUCAUCUCCACAAAAAGAGGCUCUAGAGGAUGACUUGACUACCACCCUGGUCCAGCAAUGCCAACAGUGUCAAUACACAAUCCAGAGAAUCGUCGAGACUGCAGGUGAUAACGAGGCUCAACUCUUUGAGGCACUGAGCAUCCACGAUGAACUCCAGAAAGUUCUGUCCAAGUACGAAGACCUCAAGGAACCCAUCGUCGCAGAGCCUGAGCCAGAACCAGCAAUGAUUCCAGUCACGGUGGAGCCUGAGGAAUCCCCACGCGCUGUUGGCAAAGACACCCCCGCGAGGAAAUCAGCUGGGUCCGGUGGCCGCUCUAGCGGCGGGGAUGACUUGCUUCAGGAUCUCGACGACAUGAUCUUCGGUAAGAAAGCCGGCACCUCCUCCCAGCAGGAAAGAACUCCCCGGAAGGAGCAGAAGGACGACUUCAUCGGCUUAUGA